AGAGUUUGAUUCUGGCUCAGGAUGAACGCCGGCGGUGUGCCUAAUACAUGCAAGUCGUACGCACUGGCCCAACUGAUUGAUGGUGCUUGCACCGGAUUGACGAUGGAUCACCAGUGAGUGGCGGACGGGUGAGUAACACGUAGGUAACCUGCCCCGGAGCGGGGGAUAACAUUUGGAAACAGAUGCUAAUACCGCAUAACAACAAAAGCCACAUGGCUUUUGUUUGAAAGAUGGCUUUGGCUAUCACUCUGGGAUGGACCUGCGGUGCAUUAGCUAGUUGGUAAGGUAACGGCUUACCAAGGCGAUGAUGCAUAGCCGAGUUGAGAGACUGAUCGGCCACAAUGGAACUGAGACACGGUCCAUACUCCUACGGGAGGCAGCAGUAGGGAAUCUUCCACAAUGGGCGCAAGCCUGAUGGAGCAACACCGCGUGAGUGAAGAAGGGUUUCGGCUCGUAAAACUCUGUUGUUGGAGAAGAACGUGCGUGAGAGUAACUGUUCACGCAGUGACGGUAUCCAACCAGAAAGUCACGGCUAACUACGUGCCAGCAGCCGCGGUAAUACGUAGGUGGCAAGCGUUAUCCGGAUUUAUUGGGCGUAAAGCGAGCGCAAGCGGUUGCUUAAGUCUGAUGUGAAAACCUUC
rnacentral:rRNA from 1 species